rnacentral:rRNA from 1 species
GACGAACGCUGGCGGCGUGCUUAACUCAUGCAAGUCGAACGGAAAGGCCCUGCUUUUGUGGGGUGCUCGAGUGGCGAACGGGUGAGUAACACGUGAGUAACCUGCCCUUGACUUUGGGAUAACUUCAGGAAACUGGGGCUAAUACCGGAUAGGAGCUCCUGCUGCAUGGUGGGGGUUGGAAAGUUUCGGCGGUUGGGGUUGGACUCGCGGCUUAUCAGCUUGUUGGUGGGGUAGUGGCUUACCAAGGCUUUGACGGGUAGCCGGCCUGAGAGGGUGACCGGCCACAUUGGGACUGAGAUACGGCCCAGACUCCUACGGGAGGCAGCAGUGGGGAAUAUUGCACAAUGGGCGGAAGCCUGAUGCAGCAACGCCGCGUGCGGGAUGACGGCCUUCGGGUUGUAAACCGCUUUCGCCUGUGACGAAGCGUGAGUGACGGUAAUGGGUAAAGAAGCACCGGCUAACUACGUG